ensembl:lncRNA
GGAUCUGGUGUUGCUGCAAGCUGAGGUGUAGGUCAUAGAUGUGGCUCUGAGCCCGCAUUGUUGCGGCUGUGGUGUAGGCUGGUUUGGUUUGGGUUUUUCCUCUCUUCCUGCCCCACUCUGCCCUUUUCCUCACUCAUUAGAGAAAGAGCAGGGCCCCAAAGUGGCCUCGUGAGGAUGUGGCAGCAGUUAAGGGAGGAGAUGGAGGCCAGCGCUUCAUCUCUGGUGACUGUGGCUCCUUUGAGCUGGGAGAGCUGAAGGGCCCAUGGCCACUGGGCUGAGAAGAGACAUGGGGGCCCCUGUGGGGUCCCUUCAACAAGAGUUAGAGGGUCUGAGGAGUUCCUGUUGUGGCUCAGUGGGUUAAAAAUCCAGCUAGUAUCCAUGACUAGGUUCGAUCCCUGGCCUCAACUCAGUGGAUUAAGGAUCCAGCAUUGCCAUAAACUGCAGCGUAGGUAGGUCGCAGACCUGGCUCAGAUCCCAUGUUGCCCUGUCUGUGGCUGUGGCCGGCUUGUGACCCCUCCCCUGGUCCCAUGUGCCACAUCUGUAGCCCUAAAGAGAAAAACAACAGCACAAAAAAUAACUCCAAAAUGAGUUAGAUCUGCUUUCCCUAGAUCUCCCUAUGCUGUCUAAGCCAAAUCCUGGACUGUCAUCUUAAUGUGGCUUCUGGGGUCCAGGCGUCCUACCCACAGGCCUCCCUCCUAGGGGCAGGGCUGAGUGGUGCCUUUUUGGCUUCCUUGGAGCACUUGACUGAUUCAGAACUUGGAAGAGGGUUUAACAAAGCCUCUGAUGAAAGGAAACUUGAAAAAAGUGGUCUGGCCCACCUGCUCUCCCAGGAGGAUGCCUUCCAAAUUUUUCCUGCUCUCAAUGAAAUCCUAACCUGCUUGGAAUGAUGCAGACAGAAGGAUUCCAAGCCUCUGGCUAUGCUCAGGCCUGGAUGCAGAGAGAAAAAUGGAGGUUCUGGUGUGUGCAGAGCCUGGGAGGGGCAGGAAGGGCUGCUGGGCAGAUGCCUAGCAGAAAAAGAGGGCACUGGGCAAGGUUUGGAUACAGAAGGAAAGAAGGUUGGGGAAUGGGAGAUUUUUUUUCCUUUUUUUAAAACUGAAGUGAAAUUCAGAGUUCCCAUCAUGGCUCAGUGUCAGAUUCGUUAACCACUGAGCUACGACGGGAACUCAAAAUUAACCAUUUUUAAAUGUAUGGUUCGGUGUCACAUAGUACAUUCACGAUGCUGUUCGACCUACACCUCUGUCUAAUUCUAGAGCAGUCUCAUCACCCUAAAAGGAAACCCCACACCCAUUAGUAGUCACUUUCCAUUCUCCCUCCUCCCCUGGCCCCAGACCACUAGUAAUCUACUUUCUGUCUUUGUAGAUGUACCUAUUCUGGAUAUUUCAUAUAAAUGGAAUCAUAUAAUAUGUGACCUUUUAUGUCUUGCUCCUUUGACAUAGCAUGGUGUUUUUGAGGUUUAUCCAUGUUGUGGCACAUGCAGUACUUGAUUCUCUUUUUGUGGGUAGUAUAAUGCGCAUAACAUCCAAUUGACCAUCUUAACCAUUUUUCAGUGCUCAGUACAGUGGCAAUAAGUACAUUCACGUUGUUGUGCAACCAUCACCAUAAUCCAUCUCCAGAACUUUUUCAUCUUCCCAAACUGAAACUCUGUCCCCCUUAAACAGCAACUUUCCAUUUCCUCUUCCUUCCAGUCCCUGGCACCUGCCCUUCUGCUUUCUGUCUCUGUGAAUUUGACUCCUUUGGGUACCUCGUAUACGUGGAAUCAUACAGUUUUUGUCCUUUUGUAUCUAGUUUAGGUCACUGAACAAUGUCCUUUAGGUUCAUCCAUGUGGUAGCACGUGUCAGAAUCACCCUCCUUUUAUUGGCUGAGUAAUAUUCCACUUUAUGGACAGACAGAACACUCAUCUGUUGAUAGACUCUUGGGCUGUUUCUGGACCGACGAGAUGCUGGCUUUGGCUUGCCUCUGGAUGGUGAACAGUGAAAGAAAACUGGACCAGGAGGGGCCUGUGGGUCUGGGAGACAUGAGUUGUACCAUUCCCAAGGUAGAAUGGCCUUUGAAGAUCGUACUUUUCUGUGCCUUGGUUUCUGCAUCCAUCCAACGGGGGGAACAGGGUGGGGAGUGAUGCUCCCUUCCAGGGAUGCUGUAUGCAUGCUUUGAGAGUCUGGAUGAGAGGGUGUUUUUGUGAACUCUCAGUUGCCCUGCACACAUGAGCCAUUGGCUUUCUGGUCAAGGACAGCCCUGUUCUUCUUUAGUUGUACGUAUAAGGGUGGGUGAUGUCUGGGGACUCACCAGUGACUUCCACUUGCUCCCUCACAAAGCUUCCAGAACCAGAUCCACAAGGUGUGUCCUCAGAAUUCCUGUUGUGCCUCAGUGGGUUAAGACCCCAGCUAGUAUCUGUGAGGAUGUGAGUUCUAUCCCUGGCCUUGCUCAGUGGGUUAAGGAUCAGCAUUGCCACAAGCUGCCUCAUAGAUUGCAGAUGGGCUCGGAUCCUGUGUUGCUGUGGCUGUGGUGUAGGCAGCAGCUGCAGUUCUGAUUCAACCCCUAGCCUGGGAACUUCCAUAUGCCGCAGGUGCAGCCCUUUAAAAAAAAAGAAGGUGCAUCCUGCAUCUCAGUGGCCUCCUGAACACUCACUGACUCCCAACUGAUCACAUUAGGGGAGCCAGGGACCCACGGUCCCUGAAGCACUGUCCCCUGGGCCCCCUCCUUUGAGCUCCAGGAAAUCAAAGCCUGGAGGAUGACAUUGGCAGCCUCCUGGGGUGGCUGAGUCAGAGCAGAAAGUCAGGCUGGAAUUCACUAAGUCACACUUGCCUUCAUUAGGCUAAUUAACUUUCUAUGUGAAUUAGCUCUGUGAGCUGACUUAGGAAAUCCAUUAUUGGGCCCGGCCAGUUCGUGUGCAGUGGUGCCUAGGAAGCCGAUCCGGACAUUUCCAUAUCCACCAAUUAAGGCUGCUUAAUUAUUAACUUAGGGCUGCGUGGCUAAUGAGGAGUUGCAUUCAUUGUGUGCUUCUUGAGAAUUUUAAGACCGUUCAGAAUUAGCCGCAAUAUGGUUAAUGACCAUGCUAGAAAUUGUAGGUUACGAUCCAUGUUAUAGAUUAUUGGGAAGAUAAGCCAAGGCUAAGGGCUGAUUUGUGCAAGGUCUUGUAGAUGGAGAGUGAGAGGUGCUCAGCAUGUGUAGAGCAGGCUGCUGCAGGUGGUUUCCAGCCCACACACAGCUGGUACCUGGAAAGGCUGCUUUCAGAGGGAGUGUCCAUUCACGUCUGGGGUCUCAGGCUAGCCCACCCUCCAGGACGCGAUGCACCAGGCCGCCGAUUGACUGGGCUCUAGGGUCACUUACUCUAUGCCAGGUCCUCCACGGCCCUCUGAGGUUAACCCCCUUGGACAGAUGAGAAAGCUGAGGCCCAGAGGGGAAAGCUGCCUUCCCCAAGGUCGAGUGGCUGAUAGACUCAGAUCCAAGCAGUCUGGCUUUGAAAUUCUAGGCUAAAUGGCUACUUUAGUUUAUUGAUUUAUUUAUUUGGGGGCUGCGCCCUUCGCAUGUGGAGAUUCCUGGGCCAGGAAUCAAACCUGUGCCACAGCAAUGGCAACAGCAGAUUCUCAAUACCCACUGAGCCACAGGGAACUACUCUUUUUAUUUUUUUAAGUGGGAAAACUUGAAAACCCUUGGUUCCCCUGGAGAAGGAACACUUCUUACUCUCAAGUCGCAAGAGGCGCCUCCCCAGGAGGCCUGCUCUGAACGGAUCACUUGUGUGUGUAUAGGAACCUUUGUGCCCAGAGGGCGCAGUACCUUAUGCUCUCUGGCACCACCCACAUGGAACCCAUUUGACCGGGACCCCAUGGAUGACAACCUUGGGAAACUCUUCCUUGGGAGCACAAGUGGCGUUUCGUUCCUGGUGUCCUGGGCAUGCUGUCUCCCGUUCUCAGGGUGGAGGGACCACCUUUGCAAUUUAGGUGUUGGUCACCAAGCAUCACCAAGCCCUCAUGCAGCUGCAGCUGGGAAGACGGGGGUUUCAGGAGGUACAGACUUUAUUUUUAGCCCCACAGCCUCUGUGAUUGUAUCACUAUGGAGAUGCCAGCUGGGGGCCCAUGAGGCUCUGCGCUUUUCCUGCUGGUGGGGAAGGAAGGCCCUGUUUCUUUCCUGGAAUGUGGCUCCCCAGGCAACCUGGGCUGCCUGAUAGAGACCUUAGUUGUUGUGCACCCGUGUGUGUGUGUGUGUGUGUGUGUGUGUGUGUGAGUGAGAGAGGGAGACAGCAGACAGACAGACAGAUGUUGCUGAUGCUGAUGCAAAAGAACUAGCCCUCUCCUUUGGCCCUGCAUGGAGCCCAUCAUCCAUAACCAUCUUGUGCUUUGGCCAAACUGCACUGGAGUCCAGAGGCCCCAUUUUGGCUAUGCUGUGUGACCUUGGGCAGGGUUACCUCAAUUCCCUGGGCCUUUAUUUCCCUUUCUGAAAAUUUGGGAUAAUAAUUCCUGCCUAGUACCUGCUUCUCUGGAUCUGGUGAUGUAAUCACUUUGGGCAAAUUUUGAAUCUACAAUGAGGUUCAAGUGCUGUGUGUGUAUGUGUUUGUGUGUGUUGAGUAAUUAUUCUAAUGCCAAGGUUGCCCUCAAUAGGUCAUCUAGAAUUUUUCCUACUUCUUCUUUGUCCAAUUUUCCCUGUAUAUUGGCUUCAUUCAAAGGCAGGGGAAGAGGAGAUUGAAGGGGAAAAUAUUCUAGUCCUUUUCAUACACUAUCAUAAAAGAUCUAUCGAGGGAGGUUGACUCCAUCCCCCUUCCUGCCACCUGUGUCCCCCUGCCCCGCCCCCAUGGAGUUUCUGAAAAUACUCUGUCUUCCGUUGCUGUCAUAGAUUUACAGCCCCACCUCCUGCAGGAAGUGACACUCAGCACAUUUGCUCUGUUCCCACAGUGGACAUAACUGAGGCUCAGAGUGGUUAAAGUAUGUAUCCAGAGUUGCACAGCCAUAAGCACCAGUGCUGGAACCAGAACUGAAUUCUCUUGACUCUCCAGCCUGUGUUUCUCCAUCUCUGCAGAGAACAGCAAGCAGAAAGUGGACAGACACCAGCCAGCCUUGUCCGGGGCUCCUCUAGCACUUGCCUUCUCCUUUCUUCUAACAUCUCAGGCUUGGCUCUUAUCCAAAAGAAGAAAAUGACAGGGAGUUCCCAUCGUGGCUCCGUGGGUUACAAACCCGACUAGUAUUCUUGGAGAUUCAGGUUCAAUCCCUGGCCUUUCUCAGUGGGUUAAGGAUGCGGCAUUGCUGUGGCUGUGGUGUAGGCCGACAGCUGUAGCUCCAAUUUGACCCCUAGCCUGGGAACUCCCAUAUGCCGCAGGUGCAGCCAUAAAAGAAAAAAAAAAAAA